rnacentral:rRNA from 1 species
UUCUGUAAGCCUGUGAAGGUGAGUUGAGAAGCUUGCUGGAGGUAUCAGAAGUGCGAAUGCUGACAUGAGUAACGACAAUGGGUGUGAAAAACACCCACGCCGAAAGACCAAGGGUUCCUGCGCAACGUUAAUCGACGCAGGGUUAGUCGGUUCCUAAGGCGAGGCUGAAAAGCGUAGUCGAUGGGAAACAGGUUAAUAUUCCUGUACUUCUGGUUACUGCGAUGGAGGGACGGAGAAGGCUAGGCCAGCUUGGCGUUGGUUGUCCAAGUUUAAGGUGGUAGGCUGAAAUCUUAGGUAAAUCCGGGGUUUCAAGGCCGAGAGCUGAUGACGAGUCGUCUUUUAGAUGACGAAGUGGUUGAUGCCAUGCUUCCAAGAAAAGCUUCUAAGCUUCAGGUAACCAGGAACCGUACCCCAAACCGACACAGGUGGUCGGGUAGAGAAUACCAAGGCGCUUGAGAGAACUCGGGUGAAGGAACUAGGCAAAAUGGCACCGUAACUUCGGGAGAAGGUGCGCCGGCUAGGGUGAAGGAUUUACUCCGUAAGCUCUGGCUGGUCGAAGAUACCAGGCCGCUGCGACUGUUUAUUAAAAACACAGCACUCUGCAAACACGAAAGUGGACGUAUAGGGUGUGACGCCUGCCCGGUGCCGGAAGGUUAAUUGAUGGGGUUAGCGCAAGCGAAGCUCUUGAUCGAAGCCCCGGUAAACGGCGGCCGUAACUAUAACGGUCCUAAGGUAGCGAAAUUCCUUGUCGGGUAAGUUCCGACCUGCACGAAUGGCGUAACGAUGGCGGCGCUGUCUCCACCCGAGACUCAGUGAAAUUGAAAUCGCUGUGAAGAUGCAGUGUAUCCGCGGCUAGACGGAAAGACCCCGUGAACCUUUACUGUAGCUUUGCACUGGACUUUGAGCCUGCUUGUGUAGGAUAGGUGGGAGGCUUUGAAGCGUGGACGCCAGUUCGCGUGGAGCCAUCCUUGAAAUACCACCCUGGCAUGCUUGAGGUUCUAACUCUGGUCCGUGAUCCGGAUCGAGGACAGUGUAUGGUGGGCAGUUUGACUGGGGCGGUCUCCUCCUAAAGAGUAACGGAGGAGUACGAAGGUGCGCUC